UACGAAGGGGGCUAGCGUUGCUCGGAAUCACUGGGCGUAAAGGGUGCGUAGGCGGGUCUUUAAGUCAGGGGUGAAAUCCUGGAGCUCAACUCCAGAACUGCCUUUGAUACUGAAGAGUCUUGAGUUCGGGAGAGGUGAGUGGAACUGCGAGUGUAGAGGUGAAAUUCGUAGAUAUUCGCAAGAACACCAGUGGCGAAGGCGGCUCACUGGCCCGAUACUGACGCUGAGGCACGAAAGCUAGGGGAGCAAACAGG
rnacentral:rRNA from 1 species